rnacentral:lncRNA from 1 species
GGUCAAAUUGGACUUCUUCUGGGAUCAGGAACGAAUCAGUCCUACAUCCAUCCUGUGAGCACCCAUGGUGUGCAUUCUUCCUCUGUUCCGCAUUCACAUUCAGUAGGAAAUGAACUGAAUUCAUUCUGUGGGAAGUGAACUUCUGCAACAGCUGUCCAAAUCAAGGGCAGAAGUCUGAGGGUCUUUUAUGUGAUUGGUGUCAACUUAAAAAGAGGGCUCCCUCUGUUUCAGGAAUUGGUCCUACACUUCUUGAACCACUUGAUCCCAAAAGCAACCCUGACAGAACAUCUGAUUCUCCAUCACAAGGCAAUGGAUUCCAGAUGGAUGGUGGUAAUAAUCCUAAAGUAAACCAGAGCAGAAGAGAUUCAAGAAGAACUGAGACUCAAUUCGUCUGCCAUCGGAUGGAAAUUCCACCUGCAGGCUGCCCACAAACACUCCAUCUAUGGCCUUCCAACCUGUUCUUCAGCCUUUCUCUCCCUUUCUUUAGUGACACUUUUGUUCCUAAGAAUUUCCAAGAGGCAGAACUGGUACUUGAGAGCUCUACUGUCCACCUAGGUAGUCACUGGCCACCUGGUGGAUCCUUAAACUUAACCAAUAAAAAUAAAAUUAAACUAAAAAUUAGUUUCCUGGUCACACUCAGCACCUUUUACAUGCCCUGUUGUUACAUUUAAGCCACAGGUGGUUAGCGCUACCUGAUUGGAAUCCACAGACAUAGGGCAUUUUCAUUCUCAUAGGAAGGUCUAUUGGGCUGCACCGAACUCCAGUCUUAUUAAUAGAAUUCGGGUCUUCAAGAUAUAGCUCCUCAGCAUGGGAAAAACGUGCUUUCCUGUAAAAAUCCCCAAAGUGAAAACAUAAUGAACAUAUUGCCAUUUCAUUUUAUUUUCUUUUUCAGAGAGUCUUUAUCACCGAAUAAGGAUUAAUUCUCUUAUGGACUUUAGUUAUGGCAAUCAAGCACUUUUUGUUAGUCAGCUUUCUAUCACUGUGACAAAAAACCUGAGGUAAUAAAUUUUUAAGGAAAAAAGGCUUAUGUUGGCUCUUGGUUUCAAAGGUUUUAGUCCAUGGUCACCUGGCCCUGUUGCUUUGGGCUUGUGGUAGCACAGUACUUCAUGGCCAGAGUAAGUGUCAAAGGAGUCUGUUCACCGCAUGGUGGCUGGGAAAUAAAGAGAAAGAUAGGAAAGGCUGGAGUCUCGAUAUCUCCUUCAAGGUCAUGCUCCCAGUGACCCAACUUCUUCCGACUUAAAGGUCCCUCUGUCUCCCAUUAACAGCACAAGCUGGUGAGCAGGCUUUCAACACAGGGUCCUUUGGGGGUUCACCAGAUCAUAACAGAUCCUAACCAAGAAAGAUUCUAAGCAAUAAAGAAAUCAUACCUGCCAAUGUGUAGGGGACAU